rnacentral:rRNA from 1 species
UGAAGCGAAAGUAAAAUUUCGUGGAGGUCCGAACCCACGAGCGUUGAAAAGCUCGGGGAUGACUUGUGGGUAGCGGUGAAAUUCCAAUCGAGCCCGGAGAUAGCUGGUUCUCCCCGAAAUAGCUUUAGGGCUAGCCUCAAGGUGAGAGAUACGGAGGUAGAGCACUGAAUGUCCUAGGGGGUAUUGCACCUACCGAAGACUAUCAAACUCCGAAUGCCGUCAUCUUAUACUUGGGAGUCAGACUGUGGGUGAUAAGAUUCAUAGUCGAAAGGGCAACAGCCCAGAUCGUCAGCUAAGGUCCCUAAAUGUAAGUUAAGUGGUAAAGGAUGUGGGAUUGCACAGACAACCAGGAUGUUGGCUUAGAAGCAGCCACUCAUUCAAAGAGUGCGUAAUAGCUCACUGGUCGAGUGAUCCUGCGCCGAAGAUUUCCGGGGCUAAAACUUACUACCGAAGCUACGGCAUCAGUAAUGAUGGGUAGGGGAGCUUCCCAUACGGGUUGAAGCAUGACCGUAAGGACAUGUGGACAGUAUGGGAGUGAGAAUGUUGGCAUGAGUAGCGAGAUGUGGGUGAGAAUCCCACAGGCCG